CCUACGGGAGGCAGCAGUGGGGAAUAUUGCACAAUGGGCGCAAGCCUGAUGCAGCCAUGCCGCGUGUGUGAAGAAGGCCUUCGGGUUGUAAAGCACUUUCAGCGGGGAGGAAGGCGGUAAGGUUAAUAACCUCAUCGAUUGACGUUACGCGCAGAAGAAGCACCGGCUAACUCCGUGCCAGCAGCCGCGGUAAUACGGAGGGUGCAAGCGUUAAUCGGAAUUACUGGGCGUAAAGCGCACGCAGGCGGUCUGUCAAGUCGGAUGUGAAAUCCCCGGGCUCAACCUGGGAACUGCAUUCGAAACUGGCAGGCUAGAGUCUUGUAGAGGGGGGUAGAAUUCCAGGUGUAGCGGUGAAAUGCGUAGAGAUCUGGAGGAAUACCGGUGGCGAAGGCGGCCCCCUGGACAAAGACUGACGCUCAGGUGCGAAAGCGUGGGGAGCAAACAGGAUUAGAUACCCGGGUAGUC
rnacentral:rRNA from 1 species